rnacentral:tRNA from 1 species
GACCUCGUAGCUCAGUUGGCAGAGCAUUGGGCUAGUAUUCCAAAGGUCGUAGGUUCGAUUCCCACCGUGGCCA